UGGAUAUGACCAUAAAUAUUUUUAUUAAAUGUGAAAAUACACGGGCAUAAAAAUACUGCCCAUAUUCAUUGACAUGUGUAAGCCCCAGUUGAAAUAAUUUUAGUUCCUUUUGUAUUAAAACACUAAAUUGAGAUGGAUUAAGUCAGGUUUGUACCAUUUAAAACAAAUAUAAAGGUAAGAGUAAUAAUUUAUCAAACGUCUCUAAUGUUUACCUCCCCUGUGCCCACAUCUCUUUGCACAGGUAUCUCAACCACAGACAGUGCAAUGAAACCUGUCGUUACUGUACACAGAGCCACGCAGUGGCUAAUUUUACUCUUAAAUCAUUCAGCAAAUGAGAUCAUCUAUUAAAAAAAAAAAUACCUCCCCCCCUUUAACAUCAUUUGAAAUUACAGAAUAAAUGCUGCCACUACUAGAAAAGGAAUGAUACGACCUGGAAGAAGAUCAGAUUAGAGGUUACCAUUUCCUCUCCUCCCUCCAUCACUACGGCAAGGUCAAGUACAUUCACGAAAGCCGUCCUCACUCCCGUUACCCAGACGCAUCUGUAAGACAGGGCGGCACACGAGGGCCUGCACAGCCAUGUCUAACUAGUGCAGCUUACCUCCUUCUGGUACACGCCAGCUUCUGACCACUUCUUUGCUAUUACAGGAAUACCCAGGAAUGAAUAAUGGUGACUACUGACAUUUUUUACUUAGUUAUCCAUAGUCCUCUCUCACAUUUCGAGGAUGUGUGUUUAAAUUUGGUAUUUUUGAGUGGGGCCUAAAGUCCUAGUGACAUCCUAUUGCAGCCCCACAUUCUGGGACUACAGGCAUGAGCCUGCUUACGUUUAAAAAAAAAAAAUUGCAUUCAUUAUCAGAACUCCAGUGACAAAUCUGCAUACUGCUAUUUAAAAACAGACUUUUAACACUGACUACAGAUAAUUUUAAAUUAAGAUGUUACAUCCAAUUCACAUUAAUAAACUACCGAGAUGUUUUUCAGGUUUUCUUCUAUUCAUAGAAAGAGUAAACUUUUAGAAAUGAGAAGUGAAAUAGGAGGAGUGGCCCCUCUAGCAGAGGCUUCUCCUCCCUCCUGAGCAAUGAGCACUAGACACAGCCCAGUGGCCAUGCACUUAGGAAGCUCACCACAAAGGAGGGAAAGUCUAUGAACAGAACAGAGUGCAGCCGAGGUGAACUUCAAUCAUACUUUUCCCAGAAUUACCACAAAGGUUACCUGCACUUCCUAAAAAUGGAAAUUGGAAUGCGGAAGCAGUUCUGCAGAAAGAAAAGGAAAAGGGCAGAGAAUGCUUUGUUGGUAGUGUGGCUCCAUGGUGCCUGCCAUCCAGUGUCAGGCAGGUAGAAGGAGCCACUGUUUGACACUGUGACUCUGGGACAGCACGCAGGCUGGAACACACUGGGCAUCCUUAUCUCACCGCUCAGAACUACCUCAUCUGCGUGGCAGCUGCCUUUGGCACCAGAGUUUGCAAUGAGAAAGCCUACUCUUCAGUUACAAGUAGGAGGGAAAAGAAAAAAAAAAACCUCUCUGGGAAGCAAGUUAGGAGGCAGCUAAUGUGGGACACAUGCAGGAUCCAUGCAGCCCACCUUAAUUUAACCCUGUCAGCAUCCCUCUAUGUGGGAGGGGAAGCACAGUGAUGCCUCCUUUGUUCUGCUGGUGAGCACGGCUCUUUGCAAAGCACACGCACAGAUGCCAUCACUCCAAUUCACAACUGUCAGUGACAUCAUCACAGAAGGAGUCAGACUGAAAGACAACUGCAACAUAAGUUGCUAGCGUAAGAUUAUUAGGACUUGAAAACACAAGAGUGUUUUAUCUCCCUGCAGUGCCUCACCCUGGCUUGGAUGAACUGAAUAUUUGGUAGAGGACCUGGCAUGGAGCUCACUCUGUAAACCAAGCUGCCUCAAUCUCAGGAAUCCAUCUGCCUCUGCCCGUCUCUACUAGGGUAAAAGCUGCACGCUUUCUUGCCUGCCCUGAAUGUUGAGACACUGAGGUGAGAUGAAGGCUGAAAGGUGUUUGGAAAUGCACCAUUAGGUGUUCA
rnacentral:lncRNA from 1 species